AGCGUACACGGUGGAUGCCCUGGCAGUCAGAGGCGAUGAAGGACGUGCUAAUCUGCGAUAAGCGUCGGUAAGGUGAUAUGAACCGUUAUAACCGGCGAUUUCCGAAUGGGGAAACCCAGUGUGUUUCGACACACUAUCAUUAACUGAAUCCAUAGGUUAAUGAGGCGAACCGGGGGAACUGAAACAUCUAAGUACCCCGAGGAAAAGAAAUCAACCGAGAUUCCCCCAGUAGCGGCGAGCGAACGGGGAGCAGCCCAGAGCCUGAAUCAGUGUGUGUGUUAGUGGAAGCGUCUGGAAAGGCGCGCGAUACAGGGUGACAGCCCCGUACACAAAAAUGCACAUGCUGUGAGCUCGAUGAGUAGGGCGGGACACGUGGUAUCCUGUCUGAAUAUGGGGGGACCAUCCUCCAAGGCUAAAUACUCCUGACUGACCGAUAGUGAACCAGUACCGUGAGGGAAAGGCGAAAAGAACCCCGGCGAGGGGAGUGAAAAAGAACCUGAAACCGUGUACGUACAAGCAGUGGGAGCACGCUUAGGCGUGUGACUGCGUACCUUUUGUAUAAUGGGUCAGCGACUUAUAUUCUGUAGCAAGGUUAACCGAAUAGGGGAGCCGAAGGGAAACCGAGUCUUAACUGGGCGUUAAGUUGCAGGGUAUAGACCCGAAACCCGGUGAUCUAGCCAUGGGCAGGUUGAAGGUUGGGUAACACUAACUGGAGGACCGAACCGACUAAUGUUGAAAAAUUAGCGGAUGACUUGUGGCUGGGGGUGAAAGGCCAAUCAAACCGGGAGAUAGCUGGUUCUCCCCGAAAGCUAUUUAGGUAGCGCCUCGUGAAUUCAUCUCCGGGGGUAGAGCACUGUUUCGGCAAGGGGGUCAUCCCGACUUACCAACCCGAUGCAAACUGCGAAUACCGGAGAAUGUUAUCACGGGAGACACACGGCGGGUGCUAACGUCCGUCGUGAAGAGGGAAACAACCCAGACCGCCAGCUAAGGUCCCAAAGUCAUGGUUAAGUGGGAAACGAUGUGGGAAGGCCCAGACAGCCAGGAUGUUGGCUUAGAAGCAGCCAUCAUUUAAAGAAAGCGUAAUAGCUCACUGGUCGAGUCGGCCUGCGCGGAAGAUGUAACGGGGCUAAACCAUGCACCGAAGCUGCGGCAGCGACGCUUAUGCGUUGUUGGGUAGGGGAGCGUUCUGUAAGCCUGCGAAGGUGUGCUGUGAGGCAUGCUGGAGGUAUCAGAAGUGCGAAUGCUGACAUAAGUAACGAUAAAGCGGGUGAAAAGCCCGCUCGCCGGAAGACCAAGGGUUCCUGUCCAACGUUAAUCGGGGCAGGGUGAGUCGACCCCUAAGGCGAGGCCGAAAGGCGUAGUCGAUGGGAAACAGGUUAAUAUUCCUGUACUUGGUGUUACUGCGAAGGGGGGACGGAGAAGGCUAUGUUGGCCGGGCGACGGUUGUCCCGGUUUAAGCGUGUAGGCUGGUUUUCCAGGCAAAUCCGGAAAAUCAAGGCUGAGGCGUGAUGACGAGGCACUACGGUGCUGAAGCAACAAAUGCCCUGCUUCCAGGAAAAGCCUCUAAGCAUCAGGUAACAUCAAAUCGUACCCCAAACCGACACAGGUGGUCAGGUAGAGAAUACCAAGGCGCUUGAGAGAACUCGGGUGAAGGAACUAGGCAAAAUGGUGCCGUAACUUCGGGAGAAGGCACGCUGAUAUGUAGGUGAAGCGACUUGCUCGUGGAGCUGAAAUCAGUCGAAGAUACCAGCUGGCUGCAACUGUUUAUUAAAAACACAGCACUGUGCAAACACGAAAGUGGACGUAUACGGUGUGACGCCUGCCCGGUGCCGGAAGGUUAAUUGAUGGGGUUAGCGCAAGCGAAGCUCUUGAUCGAAGCCCCGGUAAACGGCGGCCGUAACUAUAACGGUCCUAAGGUAGCGAAAUUCCUUGUCGGGUAAGUUCCGACCUGCACGAAUGGCGUAAUGAUGGCCAGGCUGUCUCCACCCGAGACUCAGUGAAAUUGAACUCGCUGUGAAGAUGCAGUGUACCCGCGGCAAGACGGAAAGACCCCGUGAACCUUUACUAUAGCUUGACACUGAACAUUGAGCCUUGAUGUGUAGGAUAGGUGGGAGGCUUAGAAGUGUGGACGCCAGUCUGCAUGGAGCCGACCUUGAAAUACCACCCUUUAAUGUUUGAUGUUCUAACGUUGACCCGUAAUCCGGGUUGCGGACAGUGUCUGGUGGGUAGUUUGACUGGGGCGGUCUCCUCCUAAAGAGUAACGGAGGAGCACGAAGGUUGGCUAAUCCUGGUCGGACAUCAGGAGGUUAGUGCAAUGGCAUAAGCCAGCUUGACUGCGAGCGUGACGGCGCGAGCAGGUGCGAAAGCAGGUCAUAGUGAUCCGGUGGUUCUGAAUGGAAGGGCCAUCGCUCAACGGAUAAAAGGUACUCCGGGGAUAACAGGCUGAUACCGCCCAAGAGUUCAUAUCGACGGCGGUGUUUGGCACCUCGAUGUCGGCUCAUCACAUCCUGGGGCUGAAGUAGGUCCCAAGGGUAUGGCUGUUCGCCAUUUAAAGUGGUACGCGAGCUGGGUUUAGAACGUCGUGAGACAGUUCGGUCCCUAUCUGCCGUGGGCGCUGGAGAACUGAGGGGGGCUGCUCCUAGUACGAGAGGACCGGAGUGGACGCAUCACUGGUGUUCGGGUUGUCAUGCCAAUGGCACUGCCCGGUAGCUAAAUGCGGAAGAGAUAAGUGCUGAAAGCAUCUAAGCACGAAACUUGCCCCGAGAUGAGUUCUCCCUGACUCCUUGA
rnacentral:rRNA from 2 species